GACGAACGCUGGCGGCGUGCUUAACACAUGCAAGUCGAACGUGAUUUUUGUGGAAAUUCUUUCGGGAAUGGAAGUGAAAUGAAAGUGGCGAACGGGUGAGUAACACGUGAGCAACCUACCUUACACAGGGGGAUAGCCGUUGGAAACGACGAUUAAUACCGCAUGAGACCACAGAAUCGCAUGAUAUAGGGGUCAAAGAUUUAUCGGUGUAAGAAGGGCUCGCGUCUGAUUAGCUAGUUGGAAGGGUAAAGGCCUACCAAGGCGACGAUCAGUAGCCGGUCUGAGAGGAUGAACGGCCACAUUGGAACUGAGACACGGUCCAAACUCCUACGGGAGGCAGCAGUGGGGAAUAUUGCACAAUGGGGGGAACCCUGAUGCAGCGACGCCGCGUGAGCGAAGAAGGUUUUCGAAUCGUAAAGCUCUGUCCUAUGAGAAGAUAAUGACGGUAUCAUAGGAGGAAGCCCCGGCUAAAUACGUGCCAGCAGCCGCGGUAAUACGUAUGGGGCGAGCGUUGUCCGGAAAUAUUGGGCGUAAAGGGUACGUAGGCGGUUUUUUAAUUCAGGUGUGAAAACCGUUAGGGUUUACUUGCAUUAA
rnacentral:rRNA from 1 species